rnacentral:rRNA from 1 species
UACGUAGGGUGCAAGCGUUGUCCGGAAUUAUUGGGCGUAAAGAGCUCGUAGGCGGUUUGUCGUCGUCGGCUGUGAAAGCCCGGAGCUCAACUCCGGGUCUGCAGUCGAUACGGGCAGACUUGAGUGUUGCAGGGGAGACUGGAAUUCCUGGUGUAGCGGUGAAAUGCGCAGAUAUCAGGAGGAACACCGGUGGCGAAGGCGGGUCUCUGGGCAACAACUGACGCUGAGGAGCGAAAGCGUGGGGAGCGAACAGG